rnacentral:rRNA from 1 species
GUCAACGGUUCGGAAAGAUUUCUCGNUUGGGAUGGGCUCGCGGCCUAUCAGCUUGUUGGUGAGGUAAUGGCUCACCAAGGCGUCGACGGGUAGCCGGCCUGAGAGGGUGACCGGCCACACUGGGACUGAGACACGGCCCAGACUCCUACGGGAGGCAGCAGUGGGGAAUAUUGCACAAUGGGCGCAAGCCUGAUGCAGCAACGCCGCGUGAGGGAUGACGGCCUUCGGGUUGUAAACUUCUUUUAGCAGGGAAGAAGCGAGA